GCGGCUUUCGCGCUACUUAAAAAAGGUUUACAAUUUCUUAUUUCUCGGAGAUAAAUAAACCGAUUUUUAUUUUUUACACACUCAUAAUGGGGGAAAAAGGAAAAUAUGUUUUGAGUUCAUCAAGAUUUACGAGCAAUUUUAAUAAUUAAAUUAAAACUUCUGGUUAUUAAUUGUGUAAAGCAUGGAUAAAUAAGUUAAAUUUCUAUUUUUAAUAUUUAAUUAAUAACCGGUUUCAAAAGAAAUAAUUUCAUAAUUAUAAUCGCAGCUGGUUACGAUUGGCUCUACUGGUUGCUGCCCCGCCCACAUCGAGCAACCGGUUAAGCAGCAGCUGGAUGAUAAUAUUUUGUUCUUCAUCGCACUAUUCUGUCGCAAUUCGAAUAAAAAAUGGCCUAAGACAUUUGAAAAUCCAUUUUGUAUUGUAAAUUCUUUCAAUUUAUUCAGGAAAUAAGCCGUUUACAUCUAAAAUUUUGCGAAAUUCUUUCAUUCGAGUUUGGGGAAGUACCGGUUUUGCAGUGCGCAGACGCACUCAUUCGUCAACGGCAAGCGCACCAGCCGGCCAGCCAACGCAGGCAACACCAACUCCAGCACCCAGCAGCAGCAGCCGGCAACGGUCAGUGGUGCAGUUUUGUUUACCUGGUUUACCUGCGGAAAUGGGACAAUGUUGCUCUUCGUGACCUCUGAAGGGCGUACCAUUGGCUACCGCUGCCAUCUGAGUGAGUGGCCAGCGUGUGCGUCAUGCUGGCCAAACGGAAUCGUAAGAAUUCUCGUCUCGCCCAAGCAAGAUUGAGAAAUUGUGACAUCCCAAAUUAUAUGGAGAUGGCCCCGACUUGAAGCCCACUGAGUCCGCUGUUAAGGAAACGAUCAAAGAAUCAUAAUAAUUGUUCUGAGAUAGCGAGUACGUGCCAGGUCGAAGAAGAAGGAGAAAGGGAAGGAAAAGUAGAAGCAGCUGAAAGAGAACAGCCUGUAAAGGAUCACCUGAUGCAGAGGGAGAAGAGGAGGCAUGUGAGAUGUGAGGAAAAUGGUAAUUGUUGUUUUAUAUUUAAAAUUUAAAUUGUUUUAAUACAUUUCCUAAUUUGUUCAACAAAAUUGACUUCGGUCGCUUUAUUUUAUAUUUCAUUUGGAAACCAGUAAGCAUAUUAAUUUGAAAAAAAUUAUCUGAUUUACAGUGCCUUUAUCAAUUGUUUUGUUGAAACUGAAUGAUCGUAAUGUAAUGCAGCUUAAUCUUUUACACACUCGGAGGGAAAAUCCUUACGGUGAGAAGCAAAAUGCGGCUCUCAAAUUGAGAACACAAUUUUGAGUCUCGCCGUGACUAACAGAGGGGCGGUCUGGCGCUUUUGGAUCUCGCUGAGAUCCUCGCUUCAAUCUCAGAGUGAGAUCAAAAAGCGUUCAGCCUUCUCGUACUCAAGGGUUGAACCCAAAUGCUCGCUCGCUUCGGUAUCGACUGAGAGCGAGCGUUUCCAUCUUAUUGUGAGAUCCAAGAGCGUCAGGUCUCCUCUGCUACUCACGGUGAGACAUGCGGCUCUCAAGUUCAGGGCGAAACUUUUAAGUCUCACCUUGAAUACCAGAAGCGAGACCGAACGCUUUUUUGGAUCUCGCUGUGCGAUUGAAACGCUCGCUCUCAGCCGAGACUGAAGUGAGCGAGCAUUUGGGUUCUACCCUUGAGUACGAGAAGGCUGGCCGCUUUUUGACCUCACUGUGAGAUUAAAGCGAGGAUCUCAGUGAGAUCCAAAAGCGCCAGACCGCCUCUCUGCUACUCACGGUCAGACUCAAAAUUGCGUUCUCAAUUUGAGAGCCGCAUUUUGCUUCUCACCUUAAGGAUUUUCCCUUCGAGUGUAGUCUAUGACAGAUUCUGUUAUGCUCUUUUUUCCAUGCGGAAACUGAAUUAGUGUUUAAGUAAAAUGAUUGAUGUACCAUGUUUUGGAAACCAAGGAAUUAAAAUCUUUAUCAAGUGUAGCAAAUAAAUAUGUUUGUUUCAAUUAUAUUUCCUUAUUUGUACUCAAAUUAAAUUAAAAAUACCUAUAUAUAAGCGCUAAUCGCAUUUUAAUAUGACACGUGUUUAACACGUGUCAACACGUGAACUUGUGCGAAAAACACGUGUUUGGCACGAACUUAGUGACGUGUCAGA